rfam:Triticum aestivum genome assembly, contig: Triticum_aestivum_CS42_TGACv1_scaffold_559145_7AL
CUUGUACUCCCUCCGCCCGAAAAUACUUGUCAUUGAAAUGGAUGUAUCUAGAUGUAUUUUAGUUCUAGACACAUCCAUUUUGAUGACAAGUAAUUCCGGACGGAGGGAGUACUUG